GACGAACGCUGGCGGCGUGCCUAACACAUGCAAGUAGAACGCAGUUGCGAACGGGUGAGUAACGCGUAGGUAACUGCCUCAUAGCGGGGGAUAACCAUCGGAAACGAUAGCUAAUACCGCAUACUGUGAGCUGGACCUGCGUUGUAUUAGCUAGUUGGUGAGGGAAAGGCUCACCAAGGUGACGAUACAUAGCCGGCCUGAGAGGGUGAUCGGCCCACCGGGGACGUGAGCAAGGGCCAGACUCCUACGGGAGGGAGAAGUAGGGAAACUUCGGCAAUGGACGGAAGUCUGACCGAGCAAAGCCGCGGGAGAGAAGAAGGUUUUCGGAUAGUAAAGCUAUGUUGUUAGAGAAGCGGUAACUAAACAGAAAGGGACGGCUAACUACGUGCCAGCAGCCGCGGUAAUAC
rnacentral:rRNA from 1 species